AUCCUGUUUUCUUCUCUAUUGUCAGGCCUCGCCGACCCAGCCCCUAAUGUUCCUCCCAAAGAGUCAGCUGGGAACAGCCAGUGGCACCUGCUCCAGAGGGAACAGUCCGACCUGGACUUCUUCAGCCCCAGGCCGGGGACCGCUGCCUGUGGCGCCUCCGAUGCUCCUCUGCUCCAGCCCUCAGCCCCCUCCUCAAGCAGCUCCCAAGCUCCACUGCCGCCUCCCUUCCCAGCUCCUGUGGUCCCAGCCAGUGUUCCUGCCCCCAGUGCGGGCUCCUCCUUGUUUUCUACUGGAGUGGCCCCAGCCUUGGCCCCAAAAGUUGAGCCCGCAGUCCCUGGGCACCAUGGCUUGGCGUUGGGCAACAGCGCGCUGCACCACCUGGAUGCCCUCGAUCAGCUUCUAGAAGAGGCCAAAGUUGCCCUUCCUGUGACAGCCUACGAUAAAAACGGCUUCCGCAUCCUCUUCCACUUUGCCAAGGAGUGUCCCCCAGGACGACCUGACGUGCUGGUGGUGGUGGUGUCCAUGCUGAAC
rnacentral:lncRNA from 1 species